UUAUGAAACUGGGCUCCAUGGCAGAUGCAAUGAACUAGUAUAAAAAAAGAAGCUUAGUUAAAAAUGUAAUCUGUCGAGUCUACUCUAGUCUCUUUUUAAUCCGACGUCUAGAAUUUGAGCUAGGAAGGCGCAACAAAUACGAUUUAAAAAUUCGAUUGUUAACGACCCUGUUAAGAUCAAGUAUGAGGUUAUCGGUAAUGGACGGCUCAUGACGAAAAAGUGUGUUGUGUAACUACAAGUUGAUUUGCGAAUGUAUCAAUAUUGGUGUCAUAUCGGUUUAGAUAUGAUAUUAACGUUAGAGAUUUGAAUUCGACAACACCAUCGUCGCGUCAAACAGGUUGUCAACCAUCUUCCGACCUCUUUUCCGUAAACAGGAGCUUUAACAUGGAAAUAUGCCCGUGUCGGAACCCUAACCCUUCAAUGUUAAAGGGUGUGUAGUAACUUUGUUUUUUGGUUAAUUAUUUCUCGACGAUAUGAAACAUACGUCCCCUAUGUUUACAAAAACCAUACCGCAAACAAUGCGUGUUAACGCGUUUAAUUAGCGCAGGCGUCGGGGCUCUACGACUCUCACCGCCAGAAGAUACGAGUCAAUUGGCGCUAAAGAAGCCAUGAUGCUGACUUAAAACUUCGAAGAUGUGCUAGCAGUCUUUCAGUGGAAUUUGCGCGCCCAGUAUGGACGGUUGUCGAUUGAUGAUUGGACAAGCCUGUGGACUCUGGAAGGUGAUGUCCGUUGCUAUCCAGACACCUCUGGACUUGUCGUUCUGGGUCCAUAUCCUGUCCUGUGUGAUUCCACUCUGACCCUGAAGGUAAACGGUGAGAGCCUGGUCUGUCUGUAGGAAUCCACGGAGAGAGUAGUGGAACCUCAGACAGUACUUCAUGUUGCCGGGCAGAGGAGGCCCGAGCAGCCGGCUAAUAUAGCCAGCACGUGGAUUCAGCCGAGAGUGAGCUAGAAGAAAGGACCCUGUGGGGAGAGAAAGAACUCUUAUUAUUGUCUUUGGCAGCUCUGUUUCCUGUCUAUCGUUUUGCCAUGGAACAUUUUCACUUUGCACCAGGCACUGGUCUUUCUGACACUUGAAACGCUUCAGGGUUUUACCAAAGUCAAAUUGAAUGCAUUGCAAAUGGUCAACAGGAGCAGCUAGAGAAACAAUCUCUUGUUGUGUGAUCAACAUUGUAUAAUUUCUGACCUGCCCCUGUUGUGUGGUCCCCAGUCCUGUAGAUGUUGGGCUUCACUGACACUCUCUUCCAUGGGGAUCCUUCCAUCUGAUCCUGGGUGUAGUGGCAGAAACCCACCUCAAAGUCACAGUUGGCGAUGGAGGGAUCAAAUGUUGGCUCUGUAGCACAGAUGGGACACAUUAGGACGCUGCAGCCCAAUACUCUUUAACAAAAUGCUUUUCUCCUCUUUUACCUUUCAACUCCAUCCAUAUCAGUCAUGAGAGUUAAUGUAAAGUAAAAUGUAAAUCUACUGUGUGAUGGAAACAGGAGGAGAGAGACCAAACAGACCCACCUGUCUCUGCACUACAGAACUCAGGAGAGAAGGCAAUAUCAUCGAGUGCCACGUGACCCCCUCUGGGGCUGUUGAAGGUGACUUCAAACACCACCUGUAGAGAACAUACAAUCACACUCAUCGAACAUCCGCAGAUCAGGCCAACACAUGAAGAAGUGAACAUGCUGCUCACUGUACUCAGUAUUCAAUCAGAAUGUAAAUCCAAUGUGCACUCCUUAUGAAAAUAUCUGCACCCCACUGACCUGCAGAGGGAACGGGGCCUUGAUGUCCACCUGCACAGGUAUCCACUCCAAGGUGGUAGCGGUCCAGUCAUUAAGGUUCUGGUCCUCUGGGUCUGCUCUCCACAGCUCCUGGUACUGGCCUGCCUGGUCCCUGGUGUAGACAGAGAACAGGUUCCCUCGCUCCUCACCCCGCUGGUACUGGAAGCUUAGGCAGCCCGACAUGGGCACCGUUGUCAUAGCAGACACCAGUUUGGCUACCUCCUGGAAUGUCUUGGCGUACACAGAAUCCACAUACAUGUAGUGACCUGGGAGGGCAAUGGCAGCUUUGAUUUUCAACUUGAAGCCAUUAUGGAUGAUACCAACCAAAUUUCCUAGAUUCUGUUGUCCAUUGUACUACCUCAAGCUACAAUAUUUUGGCAUUCUGCUGCCAUAUGAAAAAAACAAAAAAUUGAUUUUGUGAACUUAGCAGGAGGCCAGUUGAGUGUCCCCUGCUGAAUGUACGAAAUGUCGUUGUUCUGUUGAAUGUUAAUACUGUAUUGAGUUAUUUGUUUUGGUUCUUGUUCAUUUUGGCUGUGUCAUUUGCUUGUGUCCUGUGUUGAGCAGUGGUAUAUUCUUUUUGAGUGUUGAGCUGCGAUAUCUGCUAUACAUCUACUAGCAUUUAAAUGUGUGAGUUGCUAAGGCUUCACCUGCUCCGUUGUGCUGUUUGUGGAUGUAAGGUAUGUUGCUCUGAGUGUCCCGGGCAGCUCCUCCUCCCCUGUACCAGUUGACAUUGGUGUUCCACUGGUUUCUGUAGCCACAAAGGUGGGACUCCUCGUAGUCACACUCUUGAGACAACAGGACAGUAAACCAUUAAUACAACACUUCACUGUGAGGAAGCGGACCGAGGGGCCUCUCUCAUUACAAACUUCUUGUUAUAUUUUAUUAUAGUAAAUAGAGCAAGUUAAACAGGCAGAUGAUAAAAGGAGUAAAAGAGGAAAGCACAUACAUUAUAUAUCAUUAACAUUUCAUAUAUACUAGAUAAAAUAUAAAUGUGACUAUUGUAAUGUUAUUGUCACAUAAUGAACAUGUUUUGUUGGAUGAAAAGUGAUACGGAAUGAGUCAUUAUGUUGUCAUUGCGCACGCGCGUGUGUGUGUGCAUUCAUGCGUACCUGUGUGUAGUGCAUGAUAUCAGUCACUUUCAAAGUCUUACAAAUCUCGAGGGUAUAUGAUAUGGGUGUGACUCACUGACCUAAGCAGUAUCCAGGGUUGAUGCGUAUCUCAAAGAUGGCCACACUACUACCUUUGCUCUCACCAGGUCUGCCGUCAAUGGCAAUCUGAUGGAAACAGAUGUUCAGUAAUAGCCCUCAAUCGGUAAUGAAUGAGGAGGGGAUAUGGAGGUAUUGUACAGUAUGUCUGUGCCCCAUUAUGUUGGGUGGAAAUGUACGACAUAUAGACUAUACCACCAUAGGCUAAUGGUACAGUUCCCAGCUCCCAGGUGAGUGGUUCCCAGCUCUCAAGUGCAUGGUUGUUACUGUAAUGCUCAUGCCUGACUGCCUGUGUGCAGUGCAUGUUUCUAUCAUGCUCCCUUAUUUCUAUCAAACCAGUCAGGUUGAGUGCAGCAGGAAGCACCUUUAAGAUGUCACAUGCAGUACAUAGCAGCAGUUAUCAGACCAGACCGGAGAUUGAACAGCAGAUACUGUACAUGCAUGUCAUUUCAUGUUUGGACUUAUCAAUGUUUAUCUUUUGGGGGGCUCUUUAGAAUAUUUUCCAGGCCCCAUUCCUCCACCUAAGUAUGGCAGUGUUUAUAUUAGCCCAUACAUUUUAACAGUGUGUAUGUGCCUCCCAUGUUCCUGAGGGUGUGUUGUUUACCCUGUACGGCUCGGUGCUGUUCUGGAGGUCAAUGCUGGAGAUGAGCCAGCUGUCGGAGGCAGUCUGGGUGCUCCACAGGGCCUGGUCGAAGCUCUCGCCCUCUCUGCGCUGUUGGACCUGCAGAAAGCCUGACCCGGAAAGUUGGUACACCAGCCUCAGACAGCUCCAGUCCUCCUGCUCCAUGGAUGGGCCCAGCAGAACUGCCCUGCCCUCCCCCUCUGACCUCUCCUCUCCCUCUGACCUCUCUUCCUGCCCAUCCUGGUCCUCUAGGCCUGGGUCCACUGAGAUGAAAGACCCUGAGAACAGAGAAACAGUUUGAAUAGAGGUUCUAUGAAAAGAGCAAGAGAGGAAGAGAGUAUAACAGGACCUCCAUUGUCAUUAGGCUUUUUUCAAAGGAUGCCUAGGGUGACAGUGGCAGGGAAGGAUGAAUGAAAAAAGGAAGAGAGGAACCAGAUGAUGAAGAGGAAGGAGGGUGGACGGUCUGCCACAACAGGACACAAGUAAUAGACAAAAACAGGAAGAGACACAUUCUGCUUACAGUUUACAUAUAGUAGUCCCUGUCUUAAGGCAAACAUAAUGAUAAAAAUAGUAGUCACUGUCUUAAGGCAAACAUAAUGAUUACAUAUAGUAGUCCCUGUCUUAAGGCAAACAUAAUGAUUACAUAUAGUAGUCCCUGUCUUAAGGCAAACAUAAUGAUUACAUAUAGUAGUCACUGUCUUAAGGCAAACAUAAUGAUUACAUAUAGUAGUCCCUGUCUUAAGGCAAACAUAAUGAUUACAUAUAGUAGUCACUGUCUUAAGGCAAACAUAAUGAUUACAUAUAGUAGUUGUCAUAAAAAAUCUAAUCUGCAUUCUAAUGUGUCCUUUGAUCAUUCUGGGAUAUAAUAGUACUACUAAGUACCAAAUCUGAGAGCUGUGAAUGCCUAAAUCUGUUAUUUCACUGUUUCCAGAUGUGUGCUGGAAACACAGUCCAGAUGGUUCUCUCCCCACUUUCUCUCCAUCAGAGCAACAACUGCAUAAACCACAUCAACAAGUACAACUAGUACAACUAGGUCUACUACAGACACUACUACAGACACUACUACAGGCACUACUACAGGCACUACUACAGACACUACUAUAGGCACUACUACAGGCACUACUACAGACACUACUACAGACACUACUACAGACACUACUACAGGCACUACUACAGGCACUACUACAGACACUACUACAGACACUACUACAGGCACUACUACAGACAGAAGAGAGGACAGUCUUCUCAUGUUUUCAAUAAGCAACAAGUUGCCAUGUAUUUCAAGCACUUUAAGGGGGAUAACCCACAGGGCACAUACUGGUUGAAUCAACGUAGUUUCCAUGUAAUUUCAAUCAAAUUUAGUUGAACCAAUGUGGAAUAGACGUUGAAUUGAUGUCUGUGCACAGUGGGAAGCUACUGUAUUAUAAGCACUUGUCAGUGUUAUUAAAAGGGACAGUCUUCAACCUUU